GAGGAACUGCCCGGGCGCGGUAGCGUACGGGAAGACCGGAGAGGAGCUGCGUCUCUGCCCCGUGGGAGCCGGCGGGGCGGCGGGGCGGCGGCUGCAGCUGCAGCUCCGGCGCGAGGGCUCCCUUGCCGGGCCCUCUUCCCCGACCCCUGGGGCGCUCCGACAAGGAAGAGCCGUCCAGCGCGCGUCCGUCCUGAGCGUGGGCCUAGAACCAAUUACAGAGUCAAACCCAAGAGCCGAAGAAAGUGAAGACUCGCAGCUUGCCGCAGCCCCCUCCUCGGCCUGCGCACCUCCCAUUGAGGGCGUCCUGAUUUAAACGCGUGCCUCCUGCAUUUCUGCUUCUGCCCCAGGCUAGAGCGGCGACCAGGAACGCUGGACCCACAGAGAUCUGUGGCAAUGUCUGUCGAACCAUGGUGUUCUUUGGGGCAUCUGACUAGAGUAUUGUUUGAUAACCAGAAAGAAAUCAAAAAUUGGUGAUCACAAGGCUAAUGUCACUUUUGCUGCAGUGGAAAAUCAUGAUCAUUCUGUUUAAAUCUGAGUCAGUUUUGAGACCUAGAGCCCAUUAAUUGACAAGGAGGCUUGGUUCCUCUCAGGAAGGAUCUUACAAUACCAGCAUCUGAGCAUAUACCAAGAAAUAUUCCUCCAAUCCUUCCCUAAAGGGACCUAGAGCCACUUUAAAAAGUAACUGGUCCGGGCGUGGUGGCUCACGCCUGUACUCCCAGCAUUUUGGGAGGCCGAGGCGGGCAGAUCACUUGAGGUCAGGAGUUUGAGACCACCCUGGCCAACAUAGCGAAACCCCGUCGCUACUAAAAAUACAAAAAUUAGCCGGGUUUGGUGGCUUGUGCCUGUAAUCCCAGCUACACGGGAGGCUGAGGCGUGACAAUCCCUUGAACCCAGGCCUUGUUGCCGCGAGCCACUGCACUCCAGCCUGAGCGACAGAGUCAGACUCAGUCUCAAAAAAAAAAAAAAAAAAAAGAAAACUGAUUCUGGCUGGGGGCAGUGGGUCACGCUUUUAAUCCCUGCACUUUGGGAAGCCGAAGUAGGAGGAUCGUUUGAGCCCAGGAGUUUGAGACCAGCCUGGGCAACAUAGCAAGAACCUGUCUUUACAAAAAUUAAAAGAUUAGCUGGGCGUGGUGGCAGGUGCCUGUGGUUCCAGCUACUCUGGAUGCUGAGGUGAGAGAAUCACUUAAGCCCAGGAGGUCAAGGCUGCAGUGACCUGUGUUCACGCCACUGCACUCCAGCCUGAGCAACACAGCAAGACUGUCUGAACAGCAACAACAAACACACCAAAAAAACUAGUUUACUUCGGAAAAGGGACUGUCUAGGUCUUUGAAGGGCUGAUACAGGAUCUGAGCUGACACUGUUUCCAGGAGCCCUGAAGCAUCAUGGCCCUCUCAUUAGGGUGCAGGCUUAUGGAAAUCAGAUGAUAAGCAGAAUUCCCAACCCGAGUCCUGUGGUUACUUCUCUGGUCUCAAUGCAUACUUGGGAUGUUUUUACCUAGCAGAGGGCGGAGCGUAUACAUUGAUCCCAGGCCUUUGGUACCAUAUGUAAGGAAGCGCAAAGUAGAAACCUUUGAAACUCCUCACCCUACUGAAACCUUUCCAAGAUAGUAAGUCAGAAACAAUGCUGCAUUCCAGGUGUAAUUGCAGAGGUAUUUCGCCCUCAAAGACUUAUAAAGCAGUGGUUACCGUUUCAUCCCUUCAAUUAACCUGAAUGGCUCCUGCUAAAUCUUGGUGGAUUCAAGUAAAUGAUGAUGCCCUGCACAAACUUAGCCAAGUCGUGUCCCCGAUCACACAGCUGUGCUAGGUGUGGUAUCUUUACUGGAACCGAUAAAUGCACCUCUGGCUCUUGAUAAUGCAUUGGACAUGGUGAAGAAGGCCGUGCAUGUCAGAGGAUGAGCGAGAAGCCCUCAGAAGUUCUGGAGCCUGCCAUAUCAGUGACAUUCUCAGGGGUGCAGCGUUUGAGGGCAAGCCAGGGACAAGUUAUUGCAUCCUGCAUCCUUACAAGGAAGAAAGAGGCACAGCAUUGAGGCACCUCUGUGUUUUGGAGUCAGCAUGCACCGCGCUAGAGGAUACCUCUCUGACCCCUUUAUUGGGUAACGGGAAAACUGCCAGCUUUGAGUGGGGCCCAGAGAAAAAGAGGGCUCUGCUAAAGAUUUGGAUUGGGAGAUGGGCUUCCCUGCUGCAUAGAUCCAAUGGGUUACCGGGGGGCUUAUUUGGGGUAGGAAGGACCCUAUAUGGCAUCUCUGGCAAACUCCAACGGAAGAGUUGCAGUACACUGUCCUAGAGUUCUUGGACAAGACCAUGCCUUCUGCAGCAGAGAACUACUCGCCAAGUGAGAGCAGUAUCAGGCACACUACCAGACCCAGAGGAGUUGGUGAACAGCAGGAUGGAUGGGAUGUCAGUCAGCUGUGCCCCUGGCUACCCCUGUGCUUGAACAGUGGACUGUGAGUGGCGGCGUCAUGCAGAAGGAGCACAGGGUCCCAGGCCAGCAUCACUAUCCAGGAGCUUCAGGCAUGCUCCGUGUACCAACAUGGGAUCACGAAUCACAUCGCCUCAGGCCAAGAAAGCCAUUUUAUAGCGAAAGAGCCUUAGGAUCUGCUGGAUUAGAGCCUGUUUCCCAGGUAGGAACGCUUCCACGAGGGCACUCCUGCUGGUUGCAGGAAGGAUACCUCUGCUGAGCCUGAAUCUGCAAAGACCACCAGGUUACUCUCAGCUCCUCAUACUGGUGGACCAGCAGGCCACAAAGGAGGGGAUACUUGAUCCUGAUAAACGGUGAGGAGGUAGCGUGGCUGCUGCGUAACGGGGCAAGCAGGCAUUGAUCUGGCACUUAGAGGAUUCAUCUAGGUCUGUCUUGGUGCUUCCAUGCCAAGUAAUGACAAUGAAAAGGUCUUUUCAGCAGCCAUAGCCCCUAAGGGCUCAGAUGCCUCAGGGUGAAGGUCUGGGCAGCGUCACCAGGCAAGCCAUGGAGACAAGCUGGAAUGCUGGUGAGGGUGAGGCCAAGGAGGAGGUGGCUGCUGAAUAUCUGUUACUUGGGAGAAGCUGUGGCAGUGGGGAUUGUAUUUGUUCUGCUAAGCCUCUUGUAUUAAGGCUUUCAUAGGAGUUGUAACUAGCCUUUACUUUGAAGAAUCGUGACAGAGUAGACUCAAUAUUGUAGCUGACUAGAUCUGAGAGGGGCAGGAGAUGGUGUCUUGGCUGAUGCCCUCAGCCCACCUUUAACUGCAGUGGACACAGAGCUGCAUCUCUGCUGUGUGUCUUUGCACUUCCUGCUCCAGGCCUUCUCUGACACCAUGGCGGCCCCCUGAGCCUGUGCCGAGAUUGUGCCACUGCACUCCAGCCUGAGCAACAGAGCUAAACUCCAUCUCAAAAAAAAAAAAAAAAAAAAAAAAAAAAGGCGAGGGGAAUACAUACAGGAAUGGACUGUGAGGAUACAAAGCCAAGAAUGAAUUGUAGGUUAGUGCAAAUUUAUCAACAUGAGUGCACUUCAAAGAGAAUCUUUGAUUCCGUAUUUUGGCUCAAGGCCUGGGAGUAGUUAUGACCGUGCCUGGGUGGCUGAAUGAAGCCUGGACUCCUUGGUGGUUUACAUUGAUGGGAAGAUGAGAAUGUGGAGUGGAUUUGUGAUGUAUGUGACAUGACCUGGCUGCCACUCUCCUCUCUCUAUCCCUUCAUUAGACCAUUGUGUAAUUUAAAAAAAUAGGUUAUAAAUUUCUUUUCAAGAUAGUAAAGGGGUACGAUCAACAACCCAUGGAACGGGAGAAAGUAUUUGCAAAUCAUGUAUCUGAUAAGGAGUUAAUAUCCAAAAUGUAUAAGGAACUUACAAAACUCAAUAGCAAAACACCAAAUAACCCAAUUUAAAAUGUGUAAAGGACCUGAAUAGACAUUUCUCCAAAGAAGACAUGCAAAUGACCAACAGGUAUAUGAAAGGGGCCCAACAUCACUAAUCAGGGAGAUGCAAACACCACAACGAGAUAUGACAACAACGCGAUCCACCUCACACCUCUUAGUUUGGCUACUAUAUAAAAAAAAAAAACAAAGGCAAGAGAUAACAAAUAUUGGCGAGGAUGUGGAGAAAAGAGAACCCUUGUAUACUGUUGGUGAAAAGGUAGAUUGGUACAACCAUUAUGGAAUACAGUAAAAAAUUAAAACAGAACUACCAUGCAAUCCAGCAAUCCCACUUCUGGAUGUAUAUCCAGAGGAAAUGAAAUCAAUAUCUUGGAGGAUAUCAGUACCAGCUUAUUCAUUGCAGCAUUAUUCACAAUAGCCAAGUUAGGAAGCAACCUGAGUGUGCGUCGGCAGGUGAAUGGAUAAAGGCCAGGUGUAGGUGCUGGCUAGGGAUUCUAAAAUUAUGGGAAAACUGGAAAAUUGAUAUUAGGGCACCAUCUGCCCCUUUGGCCAUGCCCUCUCUACUUCCUGUAUACAAAACUCACUCACCUUAUCCUUAAGGGAGACCACUGUAAAAGUUCUAACUAGUUGCAGCAUCCAGCUCAAAAUUUAGGUUCUCUGACUUAUAUGCAAUUUGCUCCUUCAGGUCCAGAGGUAGAUCCUUGUGGUCCAGUGACUUAUAAAAGGUUUGUCAUUCAUCCUCCAACAAACUCAGUGUACACUAGUUUAAUCCAAUGUCGUAUAAACUAAAACAUAUUUUAUGUGUCCCAAACAUACAAAGAAAGAUUAAGGGCCGGGCGCAGUGGCUCAUGCCUAUAAUCCCUGCACUUUGGGAGGCUGAGGUGGGCGGAUCACCUGAGGUUGGGAGUUAGACACCAGCCUGGCCCACAUGGAGAAACCUCGUCUCUACUAAAAAUACAAAAUUAGCCAGCGUGGUGGCGCAUGCCUGUAAUCCCAGCUACUCGGGAGGCUGAGGCAGGAGAAUCGCUUGAACCCAGCGGGCGGAGGUUUCAGUGAGCUGAGAUCGCGCCAUUGCACUCCAGCCUGGGCAAAAAGAGUGAAACUCCGUCUCAAACAAAACAAAACAAAACAAAAGAGUAAGAAUUGGGUAAAUACUACAAAGACCCCAUAUUUAGACCCGAUCUCUAGUCUGUGGCACUUGCCAAAUCCUAUUGAGCAUAAAUAGUGAAGUCCCCUUUCCUGGCAGCGCCGGCUCAGUUUUCUGGAAUGUUUCUCCUUGUCUGUUAGACUUCGUGUCCACAUCUAGGAGGACACUGGAGAGGAACCUUCUUGGAGGCUGCGUAGUUUCUUCUAUGGGAUCAAAUGCCUCCUGGCUUUUGUAGGGAUUACUUUAGGAGCUGAAUUGUCAGAGGGUUUGACAAACUAGAUUGUAGUUUCUUUGGUGAUACGAUUUCUCCACAUUUUCAGUAGUGACAUUCUAGCUUCAUAACAUGAGUUGGGAAGGUUUCUGCCUCCUGUUUCCUGAAAUGUUUAUGUAGGAUUAGUAUUAUUUCUUCCUUAAAUGUUUGCUAGAAUUCACCAGUAAGGCAAUCUGGAUCUGGAGUUUUCUUUGUGGAAAGGUUUUUAAUUGGUAAUUCAAUGUCUUUAGUAAUUAUGAGGCCAUUCAGAUUUUUCUUUUUCUUUUUGUUCCAGCUUUGGUAAUUUGUGUCUUUCAAGAAAUUUGUUCAUUUAAUUUACAUUUUCAAGUUUAUUGGCAUAAAGUUGUUCAUAGUUUUAUAAUUCUUUUAAUAUCUGCUGAAUCUAUAAUGAUAUUUUUGCUUUCAUUCCUGAUAAGGUUAUUUAUGUCUUCUUUUUUCUUGGUUAGUCUAGCUAGAGGUUUAUCAAUCUUACUGAGUUUUUUAAAGAACCAGCUUUUGGUUUCAUUGAUUACCCUCAACUGUGUAUAUAUUUUUUAUUCCAUUGAUUCUGAUCUUUCCUUCUAAUUCACUUUUCCCUUUCUUUCUUUUCUUUCUUUUCCUUCUUUCUUUCUUUCUUUCUUUUCCUUCUUUCUUUCUUUCUUUCUUUUCCUUCUUUCUUUCUUUCUUUCUUUCUUUCUUUCUUUCUUUCUUUCUUUCUUUUCCUUCUUUCUUUCUUUCUUUGUCCCUCCCUCUUCCUCUUCCUCUUCCUCUCUCUCUUUUUCUUUCUUUUCUUUCUUUCUGACAGAGUCUCACUCUGUUGCCCAGGCUGGAGUCCAGUGACACUAUCACAGCUUACUGCAGCCUUGACCUCCUGGGCUCAAGCGAUCCUUCAGCCUCCUGAGUAGCUGGGACUACAGGUGUGUGCCACCACCUGGCUAGCGUGUGUGUUUGUGUGUGUGUGUGUAGAUGGGGUCCCACUGUGUUGCCCUGGCUGGUCUCGAACUCUUGGGCUCAUGCUAUCCUCCCACCCUGGCUUCCCUGCUGGGAUUACAGGCAUGAGCCACCACACCUGGCUCCUUUAUUUUUCUUUCUUUCCAGUCUAUUACUUUUAGCCUAUCUUGGUGUUUAUAUUUAACAUUUCAUUUCUUGAGGUAGCUUAUAGUUUGUGUCUCACUUUUUAAAUACAUUCUGAUAAUCUCUGCCUUUCAAUCUGAGUUUAGAUCAUUUCUAUUUAAUGUAAUCAUUGAUAUUAUUGGGUUUAAAUCUACCAUCUUGCUAUUUAUUUGUCCCAUCUUACCUUUGUUCCAUUUCCACUUCUUUUCUGCUUUCUGAUGGAUUGAUCAAGUAUGUUUUCGUAUUCUGUUUUAUUACCACUCUUAGCUUAUUAAUUGUGUCUUGUUGUAGUUUUUAAAAUGUUUUCUCUAGGAUUUAUAAUAUACAUUUUUAACUUGUCAUAGUCUACCCUCACAUGAUGUUAUGGCAUCUACAUAUAAUGUAAGAGCCUCCUUACAGCAGUAUGUUUUCAUUUCUCCUCCCAUCCUCUGUAUUGGUGUUGUUAUGUUUUACAUCUGCAUAUGUCUUAAGGCUGGGCAUGGUGGCUCAUGCCUAUAAUCCCAGCACUUUGGGAAGCCAAGGCUGAAGAAUUCUUGAGCCCAGGCAUUCAAGACCAGCCUAGGCAAAUAGUGAGACCCUGUCUCUACAAAAAAAUAAAAAAUUAGCCAGAAACGGUGGUAUGCACCUGUAGUCCCAGGUGCUUGGGAGGUGAGAGAAUCACGUGAGCAUGGGAGGUUGAGGCUACAGUGAGCCGUGAUCAUGCCGCUGCACUCCAGCCUGUGCAACACAGUGAGACCCUGUCUCUAAAGAAAAGAAAAAGAAAGAAAAUGUGUGCAAAACCCACAAAACUAUAAAGAAUAGUCAAGCAGUUUGAAAAGAACCAAAUGGAAGUUCUAAAAGGAAAGUUUUAAUUUAGUUCAAAUUUUAGUUGAAUUUUAAUUUCAACUAAAUUAAAAACUUAGUAUGCAUGUUUAACAGAAGAUUAUAAAUAACCAAAGCGAGACUUCAUGAGCUAAAAGAUAAAUAUGAAUACAGUAUACAGAAUGCUGCCUGGAAAGACAUAGAUUUGGAAAACCUGGAAAAAGGGUUAAGAGACAUAAAGGCUAGAAUAGGAAAAUCCAACAUGAGCCUAAUUAGAGUGCCAGAAGGAGAAGAGAUGGAAUGGAGCAGAGGAAAUAUUUGAAGAGAUAAUGGCUAUGAAAUUUCUAAACUAAUGAAAGUCACAUAAUUGAGAAAUUCAUAUAAAUUUAUAUAAUUGAGAACCUCAUGCAGAAAAAAAUACAAAAUAAACCCACACCUAGAUAGACCACAUUGAAACUUCAGAACACCAAAGACAAAAGCGUCCUAAAUGCAGCUGGAGAUGCAUGGAAAAUGACCUUCAAGGGAGUGACUGAGAGAUGAUGUUUUCUAGCGACAAGGAAAGCCAGAGGAGGACAAUGGACGAGACCUUCGAGGUGAUAAUGGAAACUAAUGACCCAGAAUUCUGUAUCCUGUAAAAAUAUCUUUCAGGAACCAGGACAAAAUGAAGACAUUUUCGGACAAACUGAGUUUACUACGGAAGAUUCUCAUUAAAGAAACAUUUAAAAGGUGUAAGGAAUUGGUAUCACAGGGUGAUCUGACAAGGAAGAAGGAAUGAAGGAUAUAGAAAGAGGUUAUGCUUGUUUGCUGAUGGAAAUGAUCCAGAAGAGAAGGACAAGUUGACGAUUGAGAGGGUUAAUGUCAGGUAAGAAACUUGAGUGGACAUUGAGGAAAGAGCGAGGUUCAGUGGACUGGAGGUUUGUGGUGGUUUCAUGACACGUGGACUGGAGAUUUGCAGUGGUUUUAUGACACAUGGACUGGAGGUUUGUGGUGGUUUCAUGACACAUGGACUGCAGAUUUGCAGUGGUUUUAUGACACAGCUCCUAAGUUCUUUGACACUCUUCCCAUGGAGGGGUAGGGUCUGUGACCCCCCUCUUGAAGCUGGGUAGGCUUGCAACUGCUUUGGCCAAUAGUCACAGCAGCAGUGAUGCUGUAGGACUUACAAGGUUAGACCAGAAAAGGGCAUGCCCUCCAAGGAUCCUUACUCUGAUGGGAACCAGCCAUCAUGUAGAAACUCUACCCUUGGCUGGGUGCGGUGGCUCACGCCUGUAGUCCUAGCAUUUUGGGAGGCCGAGGUGGGCGGAUCACCUGAGGUCAGGAGUUCCAGACCAGCCUGGCCAACAUGGCGAAGACCCGCCUCUACUAAAAAUACAAAAAAAAAAUGAGCUGGGCGUGCUGGCAGGCACCUAUAAUCCCAGCUACUCGGGAGGCUGAGGUAGGAGAAUCACUUGAACCCAGGAGGUGGAGGUUGCAGUGAGCCAAGAUCACACCACUGCACUCCAACCUGGGUGACAGAGCGAGACUCUUGUCUCCAAAAAAAAAAAGAAAAGAAAAGAAACUACCCUGAGACCACGAUGCAGGAGAGCCCAGUGGAUAUGCUGGUGACAGCCGCAGCAGAGCCCCCAGCUCACACUCAGCAUCCACUGCCAACCUUCUGAAUGAACCAUCUCAGACCUCGAGCCAGGCUUACCUCCAACUGCAACCAAACCUCAAAAGAGACCCAGGCAAGAACUUCCCAUUGGAGUCCUUCCUGAAUUUCCACCCUCAAAACAAACAAUUGUAAAUAACAACUUAAUUGUUUUAAUCCACUAAAUUUGAGGAUAAUUUGUUACACAGUAAUAGUAAUUGAAGCACAUUUCUUAUGGAGUUAAAAAAAAAAAAAAAGGCUUGACACAGUGGCUCACGCCUGUAAUCCCAGCACUUUGGGAGGCUGAGGUGAGUGGAUUGCUUGAGCUCAGGAGUUUGAGACCAGGCUGAGCAACAUGAUGAAACCCUGUCUCUACAAAAAAUAAAAACAUUAGCCAGGUGUGGUGGCACACAUCUAUAGUCCAACUACUCUGAGGAAUGAAGUGGGAGAAUUGCUUGAACCUAGGAGGCAGAGGUUACAGUGAGCUGAGAUUGCACCACUACAUUCCUGCCUGGGUGACAGAGCAAGACCCUGUCUCAAAAAAAAAAAAAAGUGGGUAUUGUAGUAAUGCAGCAAGAGACCAAGAAAAGUAGGAGGUAGUGAUCAGAGACCUGGCUGCAUAAAAAUGAAGAUUCGGGAAAUGGUGGCGUUAGGACUUCACCAUGGUGAAGGUAGAACUCUUAAUUUUCAUCUUUAUUAAAUGUGUCUGUUUGCAGUUUUAACCAUUGGCAUAUUUAUUUUGUGUUUGUGAUUUCUGUGAAAUAUGAGUACAAUAAAUACUGAUAGUUUGCAUUUGUUUUCUAAUCUCUCAGAAAGUUGUCAGAAAAUGUUCUCUGACUUUUUAGAAUUGCUGUGGUCAGGACUGUGGAAGCUGUUGCGAUUCCAACUCUCCCUUCUAAGUCCAAUCAAUUUUGUGCUUUGUAAUGUCUAUGCCAUUCGUGCACCAUAGAGGGAAGAAAGCGUUAAAAUGGUCGCGUCACAACAUCUUGAUUUGUCAUUGAAG
rnacentral:lncRNA from 1 species